rnacentral:rRNA from 1 species
GAUGAACGCUAGCGGCAGGCCUAAUACAUGCAAGUCGAACGGUAAGGCCCUUUCGGGGGUACACGAGUGGCGGACGGGUGCGUAACGCGUAUGCAACAUGCCUUCCAGCGGGGGAUAUACCAGGGAAACUUGGCGCAAUACCCCAUAGAAUUACGGGACCGCAUGGUCUUGUGAUUAAAACUCCGGUGCUGGGAGAUUGGCAUGCGUGACAUUAGCUAGUUGGCGGGGUAACGGCCCACCAAGGCGACGAUGUCUAGCUGGUCUGAGAGGAUGAUCAGCCACACUGGGACUGAGACACGGCCCAGACUCCUACGGGAGGCAGCAGUAGGGAAUAUUGGACAAUGGGGGGGAACCCUGAUCCAGCCAUGCCGCGUGGA